AGCUUAUCUAUGAUGUUUAUCAAAUAAAUGUCUGAACAUAUGAAUUCAUUAGUGAUUUUGCUUUUUAUCUGAGAUAAGCU